rnacentral:lncRNA from 1 species
GACCGGUCAUCAGAGUUCUGUGGAGUCAUCGUCCACCGGUUCCCACGCACCUAUGCGCCGUCUCGCACUAUGGUCGGGGGGUUAAAAAACCCUCCCCUUUUCAAGCGUAAUACAUGUAACUUUCUUUCCUUUCUAAAACCUCAAUAAUUUAGAACGAUUUAUAUAUGCAUGCUAAAAUAAGAACAAGGUACACGAUUAAAUCACCUUUAGAAACUAUUUGUAUUUCUCUGAAUCGAAUAUAUGUAAGUAUAUUUCUAUUCUGUCAAAAAUCUGGUCCUCUUUUACAUUCGGCUUUUAUAGCCACUAUUUAUUACAAAAAUCUAGGAAAGAAAGCUUUUUAUAUCUUUCCAUAUUUUCUUUGCUUGCUGCUGUGGUUCUUUCUUUCUUUGCAGGUGCUCGCGAAAAAUCCGGUGAUGGAAGGAUCGCUGGCGUUGAUAGAAGCCUAAAUUCUGGCGGUGGUGUCGAUGAGGCGCUGAUUACGGAGGCAGAGCCUUGAGUGAUGGCCUCGAUUGGGGAGCUGGACAGACGCUUCCCGAACCUUCCAGAACCAGUUGCGGCACGAGGGGAAAGAGCUAGGGUUAGAAACCCUAGCUGGAAAUUUUAGGUUUUGGGCCGUUGUAUUGGGUCAAAGGUGUAAUGGGCAUAGGAUAGGCUUACGGGGUAUUUGGGCUACCAGUCUGCUAGGUCUAGGUUAA